AGCAAGCUGAAGCUCUUAAGCAACUGGGUCAGAACUUCAAUGGUAGUUCUAUCAGUUCUUCCCACAGUCCUGGUAAUGAUUCAUUCAAGAACAUAUUUUUUGUUUUUCGUUUUUUUUUUCACUUUGAUAUGGCUUUGGCUUUUUAGUUGUUGGGGAAGCUUUGAGUUUUAGCAUGUCAUAGUAAAUUUUGCAUUUAUUUAUAAUAUGUUUCUUUUGCCUAUUCGGAUGAAGGAAGGUCCAAAAUGGAGAAAGGCAAGGGACAGAUGAAAGUCAUGAAACAGACAUAGCACAGAAUGUUGUCUCUCACAGGGGACAGAGAUUGUUAAAAAGUGUGGUUGCUGUUGCAGGGUUCUAAUUUGGAUUCUGCAAUGAUGUAAAAGAUGAUAGCAUGGUAAACUUCUACUACACCAAGCAAAAUUCAAGGAUUGAACAUCACUAGGUAUCUCGGAGGCUUGCUUCACAAUCUACAAAACUUGAAGCAUAUGGAUGUGAUUUCUAACAACAUAGUUGGUGAGAUACCAUAUAGUUUGCCACCCAAUGCCACACAUAUGUAAGCCUAUUGUUCUGAUGAUUUUUUCCUUCAUCAGUGAAUUCUAUUUGUUUAUGUGACCCUGUGUCUUCAGCAGUGAGUUUUUCUGAUGAAUCUUCUUUAUUG